GUGUCAGCCGCCGCGGUAAUACAGAGGGUGCGAGCGUUGUCCGGAAUCACUGGGCGUAAAGGGCGCGUAGGCGGUGGUCUAAGCGUGCGGUGAAAGCUCGGGGCUCAACCCUGAGUCGGCCGUGCGAACUGGGUCACUGGAGCACGGUAGAGGCCAAUGGAAUUCCGGGUGUAGCGGUGGAAUGCGUAGAGAUCCGGAAGAACACCGGUGGCGAAGGCGGUUGGCUGGGCCGUAGCUGACGCUGAUGCGCGACAGCGUGGGGAGCAAACAGGAUUAGAAACCCUUGUAGUCC
rnacentral:rRNA from 1 species